GUCGAACGGCAGCACAGAGGAGCUUGCUCCUUGGGUGGCGAGUGGCGGACGGGUGAGGAAUACAUCGGAAUCUACUCUGUCGUGGGGGAUAACGUAGGGAAACUUACGCUAAUACCGCAUACGACCUACGGGUGAAAGCAGGGGAUCUUCGGACCUUGCGCGAUUGAAUGAGCCGAUGUCGGAUUAGCUAGUUGGCGGGGUAAAGGCCCACCAAGGCGACGAUCCGUAGCUGGUCUGAGAGGAUGAUCAGCCACACUGGAACUGAGACACGGUCCAGACUCCUACGGGAGGCAGCAGUGGGGAAUAUUGGACAAUGGGCGCAAGCCUGAUCCAGCCAUACCGCGUGGGUGAAGAAGGCCUUCGGGUUGUAAAGCCCUUUUGUUGGGAAAGAAAUCCAGCUGGCUAAUACCCGGUUGGGAUGACGGUACCCAAAGAAUAAGCACCGGCUAACUUCGUGCCAGCAGCCGCGGUAAUACGAAGGGUGCAAGCGUUACUCGGAAUUACUGGGCGUAAAGCGUGCGUAGGUGGUCGUUUAAGUCCGUUGUGAAAGCCCUGGGCUCAACCUGGGAACUGCAGUGGAUACUGGACGACUAGAGUGUGGUAGAGGGUAGCGGAAUUCCUGGUGUAGCAGUGAAAUGCGUAGAGAUCAGGAGGAACAUCCAUGGCGAAGGCAGCUACCUGGACCAACACUGACACUGAGGCACGAAAGCGUGGGGAGCAAACAGGA
rnacentral:rRNA from 1 species